rnacentral:rRNA from 1 species
AACGAACGCUGGCGGCAGGCCUAACACAUGCAAGUCGAGCGGACCCUUCGGGGUUAGCGGCGGACGUGUGAGUAACGCGUGGGAAUAUGCCCUUCUCUACGGAAUAGUCCUGGGAAACUGGGGGUAAUACCGUAUACGCCCUUUGGGGGAAAGAUUUAUCGGGGAAGGAUUAGCCCGCGUUGGAUUAGGUAGUUGGUGGGGUAAUGGCCUACCAAGCCGACGAUCCAUAGCUGGUUUGAGAGGAUGAUCAGCCACACUGGGACUGAGACACGGCCCAGACUCCUACGGGAGGCAGCAGUGGGGAAUCUUAGACAAUGGGGGCAACCCUGAUCGAGCCAUGCCGCGUGAGUGAUGAAGGCCUUAGGGUUGUAAAGCUCUUUCAGCUGGGAAGAUAAUGACGGUACCAGCAGAAGAAGCCCCGGCUAACUCCGUG